rnacentral:tRNA from 1 species
AAGGAUUUAAGUUAAAUAUAAACUUUCAGCCUUCAAAGUUGACAAUAGAGCAAUAAUCUAAGCCUUA